GCGAGAAACCUCCGCAAUACACGAAAGUGUGACGGGGUUACCCAAAGUGUUCUAUUUAGAACUGUGGUAGGUGAGUAAUGUCCCCUACUAGAAGGGAGAGGGCAAGGCUGGUGCCAGCCGCCGCGGUAAAACCAGCUCUUCAAGUGGUCGGGAUAAUUAUUGGGCUUAAAGUGUCCGUAGCCGGUUUAGUAAGUUCCUGGUAAAAUCGGGUAGCUUAACUAUCUAUAUGCUAGGAAUACUACUAUACUAGAGGGCGGGAGAGGUCUGAGGUACUACAGGGGUAGGG
rnacentral:rRNA from 1 species